rnacentral:rRNA from 1 species
UACGUAGGGUGCAAGCGUUGUCCGGAGUUAUUGGGCGUAAAGCGCGCGCAGGCGGUGCGGUAAGUCUCUGGUGAAAGCGCUCGGCUUAACUGGGCGAGGGCCGGGGAGACUGCCACGCUGGAGGGGAGCAGAGGCGAGUGGAAUUCCGGGUGUAGUGGUGAAAUGCGUAGAGAUCCGGAGGAACACCAGUGGCGAAGGCGGCUCCGC